rnacentral:rRNA from 1 species
UACGAAGGGUGCGAGCGUUAUUCGGAAUAACUGGGCGUAAAGAGCGUGUCGGCGGUUUCUUAAGUCAUCUGUUAAAGAACUCGGCUCAACCGAGUGGAUGCGGGUGAAACUGGGAAACUAGAGUACGAGAGAGAAGGGUAGAAUUCUCGGAGUAGCGGUAAAAUGCGUAGAUCUCGAGAGGAAUACCGGUUGCGAAGGCGGCCCUUUGGCUCGUAACUGACGCUUAAGCGCGAAAGCGUGGGGAGCAAACAGG